rnacentral:tRNA from 1 species
GUAGUUCAAUUGGAUAGAACAAGCCCCUCCUAAGGGUUAGAUCCGGAUUCGAGUUCCAUCUAAUUUAUUCAUUUCUCUUCAGUACACUA